CGGCAGGCCUAACACAUGCAAGUCGAGCGGUAGCACAGAGAGCUUGCUCUCGGGUGACGAGCGGCGGACGGGUGAGUAAUGUCUGGGAAACUGCCUGAUGGAGGGGGAUAACUACUGGAAACGGUAGCUAAUACCGCAUAACGUUGCAAGACCAAAGUGGGGGACCUUCGGGCCUCAUGCCAUCAGAUGUGCCCAGAUGGGAUUAGCUAGUAGGUGGGGUAACGGCUCACCUAGGCGACGAUCCCUAGCUGGUCUGAGAGGAUGACCAGCCACACUGGAACUGAGACACGGUCCAGACUCCUACGGGAGGCAGCAGUGGGGAAUAUUGCACAAUGGGCGCAAGCCUGAUGCAGCCAUGCCGCGUGUGUGAAGAAGGCCUUCGGGUUGUAAAGCACUUUCAGCGGGGAGGAAGGCGUUAAGGCUAAUAACCUUGGCGAUUGACGUUACCCGCAGAAGAAGCACCGGCUAACUCCGUGCCAGUAGCCGCGGUAAUACGGAGGGUGCAAGCGUUAAUCGGAAUUACUGGGCGUAAAGCGCACGCAGGCGGUCUGUCAAGUCGGAUGUGAAAUCCCCGGGCUCAACCUGGGAACUGCAUUCGAAACUGGCAGGCUAGAGUCUUGUAGAGGGGGGUAGAAUUCCAGGUGUAGCGGUGAAAUGCGUAGAGAUCUGGAGGAAUACCGGUGGCGAAGGCGGCCCCCUGGACAAAGACUGACGCUCAGGUGCGAAAGCGUGGGGAGCAAACAGGAUUAGAUACCCUGGUAGUCCACGCCGUAAACGAUGUCGAUUUGGAGGUUGUGCCCUUGAGGCGUGGCUUCCGGAGCUAACGCGUUAAAUCGACCGCCUGGGGAGUACGGCCGCAAGGUUAAAACUCAAAUGAAUUGACGGGGGCCCGCACAAGCGGUGGAGCAUGUGGUUUAAUUCGAUGCAACGCGAAGAACCUUACCUGGUCUUGACAUCCACAGAACUUUCCAGAGAUGGAUUGGUGCCUUCGGGAACUGUGAGACAGGUGCUGCAUGGCUGUCGUCAGCUCGUGUUGUGAAAUGUUGGGUUAAGUCCCGCAACGAGCGCAACCCUUAUCCUUUGUUGCCAGCGGUUAGGCCGGGAACUCAAAGGAGACUGCCAGUGAUAAACUGGAGGAAGGUGGGGAUGACGUCAAGUCACCAUGGCCCUUACGACCAGGGCUACACACGUGCUACAAUGGCAUAUACAAAGAGAAGCGACCUCGCGAGAGCAAGCGGACCUCAUAAAGUAUGUCGUAGUCCGGAUUGGAGUCUGCAACUCGACUCCAUGAAGUCGGAAUCGCUAGUAAUCGUAGAUCAGAAUGCUACGGUGAAUACGUUCCCGGGCCUUGUACACACCGCCCGUCACACCAUGGGAGUGGGUUGCAAAAGAAGUAGGUAGCUUAACCUUCGGGAGGGCGCUUACCACUUUGUGAUUCAUGACUGG
rnacentral:rRNA from 1 species